rnacentral:rRNA from 1 species
UACAGAGGGGGCAAGCGUUGUUCGGAAUUACUGGGCGUAAAGGGCGCGUAGGCGGCCUUCUAAGUCGAACGUGAAAUCCCCGGGCUCAACCCGGGAACUGCGUCCGAUACUGGAAGGCUUGAAUCCGGGAGAGGGAUGCGGAAUUCCAGGUGUAGCGGUGAAAUGCGUAGAUAUCUGGAGGAACACCGGUGGCGAAGGCGGCAUCCUGGACCGGUAUUGACGCUGAGGUGCGAAAGCUAGGGGAGCAAACGGG